rnacentral:rRNA from 1 species
CUCCGGUUGAUCCCGCCGGACCUGACUGCUAUCGGAUUGGUACUAAGCCAUGCGAGUCGUUGUAGCAAUACAAGGCGGACGGCUCAGUAACACGUAGUCAACCUAACCUAUGGACGUGGAUAACCUCGGGAAACUGAGAAUAAACCGCGAUAGAUCAUUAUGCCUGGAAUGGCUUAUGGUUCAAACAAUUUAUUGCCGUAGGGUGGGACUGCGGCCUAUCAGCUUGUUGGUGAGGUAAUGGCCCACCAAGGCUAUAACAGGUACGGGCUCUGAGAGGAGAAGCCCGGAGAUGGGUACUGAGACACGGACCCAGGCCCUAUGGGGCGCAGCAGGCGAGAAACCUUAGCAAUGUGCGAAAGCACGACUAGGUUAAUCCGAGUGAUUUCUGUUGAAGAAAUCUUUUGUCAGUCGUAAAACCACAGACGAAUAAGGGGUGGGCAAGUCUGGUGUCAGCCGCCGCGGUAAUACCAGCACCUCGAGUGGUCAGGAGGUUUAUUGGGCCUAAAGCAUCCGUAGCCGGCUACGCAAGUCUCCGGUUAAAUCCAGCUGCUCAACAGAUGGGCUGCCGGAGAUACUACAUAGCUAGGGAGCGGGAGAGGUAGACGGUAUUCUGUGGGUAGGGGUAAAAUCCACUGAUCCAUAGAGGACCACCAGUGGCGAAGGCGGUCUACCAGAACGCGUUCGACGGUGAGGGAUGAAAGCUGGGGGAGCAAACCGGAUUAGAUACCCGGGUAGUCCCAGCUGUAAACGAUGCAAACUCGGUGAUGCAUUGGCUUAUGGCCAAUGCAGUGCCGCAGGGAAGCCGUUAAGUUUGCCGCCUGGGAAGUACGGACGCAAGUCUGAAACUUAAAGGAAUUGGCGGGGGAGCA